rnacentral:rRNA from 1 species
UACGAGGGGGGCGAGCGUUGUUCGGAAUUAUUGGGCGUAAAGGGUGCGUAGGCGGUUUGGUAAGUCUUGUGUGAAAUCUUCGGGCUCAACUCGAAGUCUGCACGAGAAACUGCCGGGCUUGAGUAUGGGAGAGGUGAGUGGAAUUCCCGGUGUAGCGGUGAAAUGCGCAGAUAUCAGGAGGAACACCAAUUGCGAAGGCAGCUCGCUGGAACGUGACUGACGCUGAGACGCGAAAGCGUGGGGAGCAAACAGG